UCCUUCCAGACAGGUCCCCACAUGACCUGGAUGUUUCACCUCUCCAACAGCUUCAGCCAGCUAGAGGCCUGGGAGCUGAGCUAAACAACAGAUCGUACAGGGCUUAGGGAAGCUCUACUGUGAGGAGGAAGGAUGAUUGAACGGGAGUUGGAGUAUUGUCCAGUAUAGCCAGAGAAGACAUCUCAGAGGUCUGUUGGUGACCUCUACUGGCCAGGUCCAUAGUAAAAGUAAAGUUUCACAAGACCGGGGGCUGAUGGGAUAGCUAGCAGAAGGGGUGGAGGACUGAGGACGCUCACAGCCAGAGUUGUGUAGGAGACUCUCUGGAGGACUGGGUCUUGACUCUAAGGGGCCAAGGCGAUGACAUCACAGAGGAUGCAGGUCUUUCUUUCUGCAUAGCCAAACUGGAGGAACUGCUGCUUGGUCAGGACAGGUUUGUAGUGGAAGAGAUCCCGC